CCUAUUUCCUUUACUUAUUUUAGCAUUUUCUCCUUUUUCUAAUCAUUUCUUGCACUUUGUGCAGUUUUAUUCUUUUCACAUAUUUUUUGUUGUUUUUUAUUUUUUUAGGAAGAGAAAAGAAAAAAAUUUCAACUUUCAUAAAUUUCUCAUUCUAAUAUAUAAUUUUCCCUUUGCUACAAUCACUUAUUCAAAUAUAUCUAAGCAUGCAUUUGAUAUGGAUUAUAUUUAGUUUAAGUUUGUAAAUUCUUUAUUAUAUACUAUGAUAUUAUAAUCAAUGAAGAUUAUAAUAUGUUUAUGUUUAGGUACCUUAGCUUGUUGAGUCCUAGUUUUCGGCUAUGUGAUAUCUUUUGAAGUCGUCAUUACGUCUUUUG
rnacentral:lncRNA from 1 species